CCCGCAAAACUCUACUUCGUCUCGCUGUUUGCUCUUUGGCUCUUUCCCCGCCCUUGCCUAUUCUAUCGUUUUACGACAUGGAGGGUAAGAAGGUAAAAGGGGGAAACGACGAGCGAGAGUACCGGUGGCGGCGGAAGGAAGGGGGGCGGGGUUAGAAAGCGGGAGCGUGGGGGUGGCGAGCGGUGGCACCGAAUGGGUAGACGCGGCGGCGGAGGCUGCGCGGCGGCGGUCUACGGCUCUGCCUGCUCCCUCUCCGGGGUGCGCCGCCGGCCUUCCUGGCGGCGGCGCACCACGCCUAGCGCACCCUCUUCGAGCAGGCCACCAGAGCGAGGACCGCGUCGGCGUUGGCGUCGCUGCAGGAGCUCUGGUGCGCGUUCCACCACCAGGAGCCUCCCCCGAGCAAGCCUUGCCGCUACCGCCGCGUCCACCGUCGGUUCUUCGGGCUGGAACUCCACCGGUACGACGAGGCCCUACUGGAGCAGACGGCGAGGUAGUUGCUGGCGGUACAGUUGAGGUUUAUGAACAGUCUUAUGUCGAACGGUCUUUUAUAACAACGUUGUUGAUCACGAUCACUUCGAAAUCGUCCUCGAUUAAAGACGAAGGUGCGACAGGGACAAGUCAAGUAGGAAAGAACUCUCAUAAAGUUGUAUACAACUAGGUUUCAACGGUAAGUAUAGUGAAUCGUUUCCCGACCUUGAAUUGUGGGAAGCCUGUUACAGAGUUUAGUAAGGAGAACGUGACCCUUUAGGAGCGGUUGGUAAAUAACAAGACAGUCCUGGAAGAAAACGUCAUCUUGACUACCUCUUUGAUGGUUGUCGAUACCACCACCGUAGGUUUCUGUCUUUCGACCGUUCACGACAAGUUGUCGAGAAUCGUAGAAGUUUAAACUCCUAUUCGUGUAGUUCCCCAUCUUUAACGUCCGCGUGAAUUCUUACAAGAACGUUAUCGUCGUCCAUAUCAACUUCCAUACGUAGAACCUUUAUUAACAUACCGACGGGAACAACGAGUUCCGACAAGACUUUAAGCCACCAACCGCUGUUUCUACCCUCGUUUCGGUUGUUGGGAAAGACCAAAUAGACCGAGUCCACUAUAGUACGAAUGUACAAAACAUUUAGAAAGUGCCUUGUCUUUACACCCUAACGCAGAACCAAGUCCGCUCUUUGAACUACUCUAGAACUUAAGUUACUUAGUCCAACGACUUCCACACAGUUGACGACCGCGACAGUAACGUAAUCGAGUCUUCAUGUUGCAGUUUGACGGUCAGGACUGUCGUCAACGUGCUUAUUAACUAUUACUUGAUUGAGGCUUCUCUCGACAAUACCUCAAUUACUUAGAAGGUGUCCACCUCCUUCAGAUUGUCCUUGGUUGGGUUUUCUUACCUCGGUGACUUGGACAAUACGGUAUGAAUUUUAUCGACAUACGAGGUAUACAAACAGAGGGUAGAGGCGAGUUGAUAUAAAAGAGAGCAGUUAGGUAGCUUAGUACUACUAACGAAACUCUCUAUAGUGGCUAAAACGUGAGGAUACUUCUCAAAUACGAAAAUCCGUGUAAGCACACGUGUUUACGUCUGUCCUAUAUGUAAUAUCCCUGGGCUUUAACUUACCCUUGUUACGAGGUACAAACCAAUAGGUUUUGUUCUAAUGCCAACAUCCAAAGUAGUGAAAAUCUUACUCAACCACUUCCUUAUGUACAAUCAAGAAUAAAAGAAGACAUACUUUACCGGACCAAGUAUAAGUACUGUUCUGAACUCAAAUAAAAAAACAACUUUUAAAAGGAACAAAAAAAUCUUCUUUACAGGAGCAACAAUAUUCUUUUAUCACAUAUAUGAUGGAAUUUUUCUACUUUUACAAAGUAGAACACAUUUAAAAGAAAGCGG
rnacentral:rRNA from 1 species